rnacentral:misc_RNA from 1 species
GUCCAGUUUGUGUCCGUACUGUAACAUGGAGUAGCUAUGUCUAAGGUCCGCCCUGCAUCACAGAAGCUUAGCAGGGUUGGACCACUAGACGGGACGGAUGUGGAAAGUUAUGCAGGAUUUUUCACAGUCAACAAAACUACCAACAGCAAUAUGUUCUUCUGGUUUUUCCCAGCUCAGAUUUUUGACACACUUUUGAAUGGUGAUCUGACCCCCAAUGCGCCCUACUUUUACAAUGUGACAAACAUACAUAACUACUACAACUUUCUUCUCACAGAGGUCAUCGUAAGAAAUGCAGGACAUAUUCUUCCUUACGAUCAACCAGAGCGAGGCUAUGACCUAAUUCAGAGAUUUAUAGAAAAUAGAAGUUUCCACUAAGAUAUUAAAAAUACAACUCAUCUUUUGUACUUUGUUUUUUUUUACAAACAUGUUUUGCAUUUGAUUAAACAUUAUGAAAAUAAAUAUUUAAAACAACUAUUAUUUGUCUUCUUAUUUUGGAGGUUGUAGGGGCUGUCAUGGUAGUUUUGAAACUGAUAAUGCCUCUGUUGAAAAUAAAACUUGUUUCUCGUUUUUAAAAAAAAAAAAACACUUUGAUUUUAUAUUAUAAAGGGUAUUCUCGAUCAUUUGUAAAUGCAGAUUUCAAAAGAUUUAAAAGUCUUGAUAUGGAUUGUAAGAUGCGUUAGAAAGAAAUUGAAAUUAUUUCUAAAUAUUUGUACUAAAGUACUGUCGUCUGUUUUAAAAAAACUAAACAAAAAAAUUAAACUUUACACGAUAUGUAAGUAUGCAUGUAUUAUUAAUAAAAUGUUUUCUGUGUUGAUUCAUGCCGGAGGAGUGUGAUUUUAAUUAGCUUGCAAAAACUAAACACAUUACUUGCAUUAACCCUAAAAAAAGUUAAUAUGUGUCUCUGCAAUGAUUGUUUUUUUUUGUUAAAAAGAUUCUUGUUUUCAUUUAAAGGAUCUAUAAAUAUUCUUUUUUCACAGAUGAAAUUUAUUAAGAACAUUCAAAAGGGAUAUUAAAGUUUAUAUAUUUGUUAAAAUAAUAAGUCAUAUAUGUAUAAAAACACAUUUCAAAACAUUCCUUUGAA